GACGAACGCUGGCGGCGUGCUUAACACAUGCAAGUCGAACGGAAAGGCCCUGCUUUUGUGGGGUGCUCGAGUGGCGAACGGGUGAGUAACACGUGAGUAACCUGCCCUUGACUUUGGGAUAACUUCAGGAAACUGGGGCUAAUACCGGAUAUGAGCUCCUGCUGCAUGGAGGGGGUUGGAAAGUUUCGGCGGUUGGGGAUGGACUCGCGGCUUAUCAGCUUGUUGGUGGGGUAGUGGCUUACCAAGGCUUUGACGGGUAGCCGGCCUGAGAGGGUGACCGGCCACAUUGGGACUGAGAUACGGCCCAGACUCCUACGGGAGGCAGCAGUGGGGAAUAUUGCACAAUGGGCGGAAGCCUGAUGCAGCAACGCCGCGUGCGGGAUGACGGCCUUCGGGUUGUAAACCGCUUUCGCCUGUGACGAAGCGUGAGUGACGGUAAUGGGUAAAGAAGCACCGGCUAACUACGUG
rnacentral:rRNA from 1 species